CGGUCAUCCGCUCGCGCCGAGUGCUUCGUCGUCCGGCCUCAGGCUAAUCACGGUCGUCCGCUCGCGCCGCGCAGGAUCCCGCCCGCCCGACGCCCGAUAAUCCGGUGACGCAUCGCGCUACCCUCGCCCGCCCCCCGCCCGCCGCGCCAUCGCACCGCCGCCGCGGUCUCUAGCUUCCGGCCACUCCGCGCCACCGCGUCGCCGCCGCUCUGUCCAGUCUUCCGGCCACGCCGGCCCCUCCGCGCCAUCACGCCGCCACCGCUCCGUCCCCGGCUUCCGGGCACUCCGCGCCAUCGCGCCGCCGCCGCUCCGUCCCAGGCUUCCGGCUACGCCACGCCGGCGUGCAGUUCCCGAGGCCCGUCGCCCAGUCGGCGGUCGCUCAUGUCCGUCGUCCCCGGCCUCACAUCGUCACCGGCCUCUCGUCGCUGCGCCGCCACCGCGGACUCCCUGGCCUCACGUCGUACAUAAGGGCCCGCUCGCUUGCAGGUGCCAGAAGCAGUUCGCGCAGUACACCAGCCCUCCGACGCAACUCCCGGUACUGCUCGCUCCCGUGCUACAAGGGUUGCCUUCUGCCGACGCCCACAAGGUGUUCGUCGAAUUGCCACAGUGAUUUUGAAAGCUUCUAGACAAGACAGUCUCUGAUAGAUAAUUGCAUGAGAUGUA